UUUCCCUCAGGAUAGCUGGCGCUCGAUGUCUCGCAGUUUUAUCUGGUAAAGCGAAUGAUUAGAGGUCUUGGGGCCGAAACGAUCUCAACCUAUUCUCAAACUUUAAAUAGGUAAGAAGCCCGGCUCGCUGGCUUGGAGUCGGGCGUGGAAUGCGAGCCGCCUAGUGGGCCACUUUUGGUAAGCAGAUAAUUUUAGGAUUCUA
rfam:Salmo salar isolate Sally breed double haploid chromosome ssa06, whole genome shotgun sequence.